rnacentral:rRNA from 1 species
CUACGGGCCGCUCCAGUGGGGAAUAUUGCACAAUGGGCGCAAGCCUGAUGCAGCCAUGCCGCGUGUAUGAAGAAGGCCUUCGGGUUGUAAAGUACUUUCAGCGGGGAGGAAGGGAGUAAGGUUAAUACCUUUGCUCAUUGACGUUACCCGCAGAAGAAGCACCGGCUAACUCCGUGCCAGCAGCCGCGGUAAUACGGAGGGUGCAAGCGUUAAUCGGAAUUACUGGGCGUAAAGCGCACGCAGGCGGUUUGUUAAGUCAGAUGUGAAAUCCCCGGGCUCAACCUGGGAACUGCAUCUGAUACUGGCAAGCUUGAGUCUCGUAGAGUGGGGUAGAAUUCCAGGUGUAGCGGUGAAAUGCGUAGAGAUCUGGAGGAAUACCGGUGGCGAAGGCGGCCCCCUGGACGAAGACUGACGCUCAGGUGCGAAAGCGUGGGGAGCAAACAGGAUUAGAUACCCCUGUAGUC